AAUGAUAUAUGUGAUAUUGAUUGCAUGAGUCAUACCAACGUUAAUCACAUGAAACAUCGACAUGGUAGUACUAAUCGUAAUAACGUACAUACUGUACAUACUUUAUAUAAUAUGCAUAAUACACACAGUAAUAGUAGCAACGCACAUAGUGAUACUAGUCACAUUCUUAGUUCGAAUUUUGAUUUAGACAGUUUAGUAUAUGGUAUGAAUAAUAUGAGCAUAUCUGAAACUAACAAAAUAAACUCAGACGAAAAUAGUAAAAGUAUUUUUUAUGCCUUAAACAAAUUAAACAACAAUGAACAGUUAUUAGAAUUUGAAAAAACAAUGAUUGAAGAAUGUAAAGAAGAAAAAAUAAAUACAUUUGACUCGGAACAAUUGAAUGGUGAAUAUUAUUUACGAUAUGGUAGUAACCCAGCUUACAAUUUAAAAAAAAUAUUUUUAAAUAACAAUAAUAAUAGUAAUAGUAGUAAUAGCAGUAAUAAUAAUAAUAACGUGGUAUAUGAACAAACAAACAAAAUUAACGAACUAAAGAAUGAACAACUAAUUGGUCCAAAAACUGGUCAUAAUAAAUAUAUAAAUGACAGUAGUAAUACUAAUGAUACGAUAAAUAAUUAUUUAUUUAAUAAUGAUUAUAAUUUGUUGAAAGUUAAUAAUUUAUAUAAUAGUAUGAAUUGUCUUAAUACAGUUGAGAGUGUGAGGGAUUCGAUGGAAAACAUAAACAACGUUGGUGUUAGUAAUAUAGAAAAUACAAACUUUAUGGGUAGAUCAGAACAUGUAGUAGGACAUAACACUAGUAAUGACACUGUAAUGAAUAAUAGUAAUAUGACAAUAUUAAAAAAUAGUACUUACGAUUUUGAAAAGAGUAAAAAAGGAAUAAGUGGUGAUAUGAAUAACACUAUGAACGUACGAGACCUUAAACUUUUUACUAAUGUGAAUUGUGUUAAUAGUAAAAUGAAAAUAAAAAAUAACAAUAAUGAUAUGUAUAUGUAUAAUAAUAAUGAAUUUAAUCAUAGUAAUAGUAAUGUCGGUAGUGUCACUAAUAAUGUAGGAAGUAAUAACAGUGGAAAUAUAGUGGGCUCACGUGUAGUAGUAAGUAACCAAAACUGUAUGAACGAUGAAAUGCAAACUGUACAAAAAAAAAUAUUGCAAAAUGAAAUAAACGAAGAAAAUUGUAUGAACAGCAAUAACAAUAGUGCAAGUAAUAACAACUACGUAAUAUGUAACAUGAAUAAUAAUAUACAAAGAAACAUAAUUUUAAGUAAAAAAAAAAUGUUUACAAGUAAUGAUAUCCAUAUAAAUGGUACAGAAAAGUUGUUAAGUGACAUACAUAAUGAACUAGCUGAAGAUAAUACAUCUAAUGAGGUUUUAUUAACGAAUUACAAUGGUAAUAAUAAUAGUAGUAAUCAAAAUAGUAGUAAUAAUGACACAUUUUUUAAUAGCAGUUGUAAAAAACCUAGUUACAGUAACAUAUAC
rnacentral:lncRNA from 1 species